rnacentral:lncRNA from 1 species
AGGUUCACGCGUCGCAAACCUAUUACGUCCGGUCGGUACUAUUGUUCUGUCUAAACUUGCUCUCAUUUUAUUUAAUUCGGCCGUUCAUUUCAUUCAAGUCGUGUUCCUGUCCACUAAGUGCGGAUUUUCUCAAUAUCUGUGCAAGUUUAAUCGUUUCAUCGAAGGUUUAGUGAGCCUCAGGACCAAUUUGCACUCGGCUAAGGUAAAGGAUUCUGACUUUUCAAAGAUGGCGGGCGUGAAUGUGUCCUUCCUGUCUCUCGUUUCAUCGGUUGAAGCUAUUCGUUUUCGCGUUGUGAAAGUGAACUUCUCGCGAACGUUCGUCUGAAGUUUUCGUGGACUGAUUCAAUUUCGAUGAAGACUAUUCUCGAUAAUGGAGAUACUACUCUAGAUUCGGAGGUAUUGAAAACGGCGUGAACGUGUUUUACCUCCCAUCGGUUGGAGUGAUUUGGUUUCGCACAACGCAAGGGGCCUUCUCUCGAUUAUGUGUCGAAUGUUUUCGUGGACUUGAUUUCGGAUCCGACAAUAUUUCGUGAUUUCUCAUUCUGAAGAAAACCGGCCAGAUCUAGGCAUCUUCUUUCUUGCGAUCCCUAUUGUGUUCGGCUGAUGUGACGAGAAUUUGCAUUGUGUUCCGUUCGAGUUGAAUCGCGUGGAUUUUUGAACCUCCGAGGUUCUGCGUGUGCUUGCUCAAAGCUCGGACAUUUCUAUUCGUCUCACUUUUGUAUUUGAUCGGUUCAGUACUUUCGCAGUUCGUCUGAUAUGUGUGAACUUUUCGUGGUGGUUUCGAGGAAUUCAACAAUACGUCUCAACGGUCGCGGACAAUUUCGGCUGUCGUGUUUUCGGAUCCGAUUAUACUUGUGUUUUCGCGUCGUGUGAAUCAGUGAUUGUGUUCAGUGCGUUUCGUGUGAUCUUUGUUUCAUCUGUGGAACGAGUCUCGGGAAUUAUGUCGAUGAUUAUUCUGGAAUAUUCUGCCCAAUUAAGCUAUCUUCGUCGGGUUGGUGAGGCUCUCCGGUCAGAUAACGAUUAUAAGACGCAAUACGUUUGGAACACCCAACAUGGACAGAAUCGAAAUCAGCAUAGAAAAUGUUUGUAAUUCGUUCACUCUACAGUGAACUUGUGUCCUCAAUCGACAUUAAUAAUAUUUUAAAAUGUUAAAUAAUGGGCAUUUUUCAGUGUAGUUUCAGUGACAGUGUUGUGAGUGCUUUCAGCCUGGCGUCGGGAAAUUGGAUAACCUACCGGCGGUACGUAUUUAACACUUUUUUCCUCUCUUUUGAUAAGUAUUAUCAUUUUCUUUUCUAAUAUUUAGUGAUGUUUUUUAAUGAUAUCUCUACAGAAACACAU